rnacentral:piRNA from 1 species
UGCAGUCACAACUGCGAUUUCUCU